rnacentral:rRNA from 1 species
UACGUAGGGGGCAAGCGUUGUCCGGAUUUAUUGGGCGUAAAGAGCGUGUAGGCGGCCAGGUAGGUCUGCUGUGAAAACUCGAGGCUUAACCUCGAGAUGUCGGCGGAAACCAUCUGGCUAGAGUCCGGAAGAGGAGAGCGGAAUUCCUGGUGUAGCGGUGAAAUGCGCAGAUAUCAGGAGGAACACCAAUAGCGAAGGCAGCUCGCUGGGACGUUACUGACACUGAGGCGCGAAAGCGUGGGGAGCGAACAGG